UACGGGGGGGGCAAGCGUUGUUCGGAAUUACUGGGCGUAAAGGGCUCGUAGGCGGCCAACUAAGUCAGACGUGAAAUCCCCCGGCUUAACCGAGGAACUGCGUCUGAUACUGGAUGGCUUGAGUUCGGGAGAGGGAUGCGGAAUUCCAGGUGUAGCGGUGAAAUGCAUAGAUAUCUGGAGGAACACCGGUGGCGAAGGCGGCAUCCUGGACCGACACUGACGCUGAUGAGCGAAAGCCAGGGGAGCAAACGGG
rnacentral:rRNA from 1 species